rnacentral:rRNA from 1 species
UACGUAGGCAGCGAGCGUUGUUCGGAGUUACUGGGCGUAAAGGGUGCGUAGGCGGUCGGGUAAGUCUGAUGUGAAAUCUCACAGCUUAACUGUGAAACUGCAUUGGAUACUAUCCGGCUUGAGGAAUGGAGGGGAGACUGGAAUACUUGGUGUAGCAGUGAAAUGCGUAGAUAUCAAGUGGAACACCAGUGGCGAAGGCGAGUCUCUGGACAUUUCCUGACGCUGAGGCACGAAAGCCAGGGGAGCAAACGGG